AAUUGAUAUCUGUCUUCCUUUAUACACUUGUAUUUUAGCAUGUCUUUUUUCGACGAAAAUGUCUGGAUAUUGUGAUGGCCAUAGCGUUGUGCCAAAGAUCCAUCUCAGUUAAAAGUUUUUUUGUAAAAUUAUGCAUAGACAUAAUAUCUUGUCGUGUAAAUUAAGCCCUAUUGCCAAUGCAAAAUCCAUACAUUUUCCCCAUAGCUGAAAAAAAUGCGUGUUUUAUAUUUAGAAAAAAACAUUUUUAGCAAUAUUUAGGUUUAUUCCCCAAAUAAAACAACAUUAUCAAAUUCAUUUUGUUUCGUUUCAAUGUUUUAAACAGAAGCAUUAUUCUUCUCAAGAUAAAAACAACAUUAUCAAAGUCAAUUUUUCGUUUCAAUAUUUUAAACAGAAGCAUUAUUGUUUUAAAAAUAAAAACAAAAUCCAAUGACACCAAAGAGGUAGAAAAACACAUAGGGACAUUUGUCAUAAUACAUUUUCUUUCUUUGUAGUAAUGUUAUAUGUUUUAAUUGUUUUUAAUAGCAUCGAUGCCUCAAAAUAUUAGUGUCUGGCACGUAUGGUCCACAACCUGGACCGACACACAAAGCCUAAUUGCAAACUAGUAAAAGUUGUUGAUGACAGACAUCAACCAAAACUCUGUCUGUAUGCAACUGAAAUGAUCAGCAAAGACACUUAAUUAAGGUACGAUAAUUUUCUUGCUGAUGUACCUUGGAGAAACUAAAAGGUAAGCGAUAUAAUGUUUUAAUUUUCUCUUUUUUUUAAUUGAAUCAUAAUUAUAGUGAAUACAUUGUGCUCAAACUCUGUUUGAUGUUAAAUAAAGUCUGACGGGUAUUGCUUCUCACUUGGGUCAAAUUUGCCUUAUUGAUUUUCCCUACUGAUACCCAAAUUUGGUAUGAGCUUUAUGAAAUCACAAUGUUUAAUAAUAGACCAUCAUACAACCUCGACCUCUAGUUUCAGUAAGUGUUGAAUUAUUUCUGUCAUCGCUUGUUUGUUUUUUAUGAGAAUUUUCCCUUUAAAAAUUAUAUAUAAUUAGGAUACUACUCUAUUUUUGGCUUAAUUGAAAUGAAUGUUUUAAUUUAUUACAUAGCCUAUGGGCAGACAAGACCUAAUCAAUAAUUGAAUUCCUUGUAAUUGAGAAUAUUUUAUUAGAUGUACACAAUCAUUGCUAUUACAUUCACAUAGACUUAGGUUGAAUCCAGACAUGUAUUUGCGACUUUAUGAAGUAAUUUAAACCAGAACGUUGACAUCAAUGACUCUGCAUUUACGAACUUGUAUACCAUAUUUUGCAGAAAAAUGAUGUCAAGCCUGUGGUUUUUGAACAAUUCAGUAAUAACGAGAAGUUCCUUGUUAAUUGUUUUUGUUGUUGCAAGUUUUUUCAGAAUAUGCAAAACUACAUAUAUAGUGUAUGUGAAAAGCCUUUUAGCAUACGAAAAUAUUGAUUGUUAACACAUUCGGUACUUUAUGUUUCUAAGAAGCAGUGUACAUGGAAUUAAAUAUUUAAUAAAAAAAGUUCACAUUGACUUAAAACUACAAAAUUCUAAUGCAAACAAUGUUUUUGGGGGGUAUUAAAACAGCGAGACAAUAUGUCUGGCAAAGUUUACAUUUACACACGACAAAUUGAAGAUCUCUUGGCUACUGGCAAUGACAUGCUCUCUGACUCAUUAUACGUACUCUGAUAUUUGCCUUCAUUUUUUUCCAAUAUCACCUAAAAGUUGUAUAACGUUUCCGCCCAACCAUUUGAACAUUCCUGAUUGUGUUCACCAUUUAAAUAAGAUUACGGAAAGCCCUGUCCUAUGAUUGCCGUAAAAGCCACAAAGUAAUAAGAAAUGCAAGAAAUUUGUGUUUAAUAGUACAUCAGAAUGUUUGUGGGGAUCUUAAAACUGUUAAAAUGAAAAGUUUUUUUCCAUAAUAAAUUUCAUUAUGUGAUUGGCCUUUGUUGUGACCACACAAUCAUCUAUACUGCAGUUCAUAAAUAGGUUAAUUAACUCUUGUAGUAUGUUCAAUGCUUCUUUGUGUGUUAGAAUUGUACCUUAGAAUGUUUGAACGUUAUCUAAAAUUGUGAAAUGAUUUUAUGACUCUUUAUAUACAUUUGUUUGCAAUGAAGACAUAUACUUUUAUAAUAUCUCAUAAAUGAUCAUGAAUUUACCAUCCCUAAGGGGAGCAUAUUAAAAUCAUCUGUGUGUCCUUCUGUCCCUCCCAGUUGUCUGUGUCAGGACUUGUAUUUAUUUAUCUAUAGACUGAUUUUAAAAUAAAUUUGCAAAUGUGUUAUGCAUACAAAGACGUCAUGUCGCGUGCAAGGCCAAUCUCCCUACCUCUAAUGUCAAGGUUACAGUAUAUAAUUCUGCAUAAUUAUAAGGACAAAUGUGUAUUGUUGGUGGUGUCCGGACUGUUACCUUUUCAUGUAUGAACAGAUCUCAAAGUCAUUGUAAUGUUUUAAUGUAUGGACAGAUUUUUAAAUAACUUUGCACAUUUGACAAGCACGUAAAGACAACAUGUUAAGACCUGUGUUCCUUUUUCAAAGAUCAAGGUCACAGGUUUCUAUGUUUUAUUACCUCACAAAGUAUGCGAAACGUUUUUAAAUAAUGGUGUGUUGCUGUAUGACAAAAGUGUUUUUCGAAAUGACUGUAUGUAAUCUAAAAUUUAAAUUGUAAAAUGAUAUUACAACUCCCGAAAUCUACGUUUGUGAACAUAAGACAAAUACUUUAAUAUCCCAUAAUGGCAUUAUGACAUGGCAGAUCUGCGCGUGGUAUAGGAUUUCAAUGUAUUUCAGAUCCUGAUAAAGAUUGCAGUUGCAGGAACUACAGAGGUCACAUAACCAUCUGCAGAUGCCCUCGGUGCAUCAACAGAAGUCUUAAACAUGCUUAUCAUGGGAAACUGGAGUACUAAUUAGUUCAUACUAGUUUAUUUAACUUACCUGAUUGUGUAAAAGCUAAUUUAUUUUAAACACACUCCAUUUCCUUAGUCACACAUGAUACAAGAUACAAGAUCUGAAACAGAUGCUGUAGGGAACUGUUGGACAGUUGCCCCAUCCACAGUUGUCUCUGAACAUGCCGAAAGGCCGCCUCAAGGGAAUGGCAGCGAGACAAUAUCUGAAAAGAAUGAUGAAGUCAAUUCUGCUAACAGCGAAAUGUCCAUGGAGAGAGAAAUGGAAUUCAAGUUUGAGAUUAAAUGUUUAAGAAGAGAUGGACUCGAACUCGCGUAUCGGUUACUGACACAGACGAGCAAGUGGAUACAGUCAUUCAGGCCCUUGAAAGGAUUUUCUGUAAACAGGAUAACAGGUACCUUGACUAUCUGCUGAGGGUUCUUCUUCCACAAAUGCUUGUGAAGAUCCAUAUGGAAAUACACAUGCCAGCAAUGACCAAAUCUGUCAAGUCUGUAUCACUUUAAUCUCUGGAACUUGGGUGAAAUGUUCACUACAUCAAGACAACAUGUGUAAUCUACACUACAAGGGUGCUUGAUAAAGGUUUAAUUUAAGGUCAAAGGUUCAUGUCAUAGGUUUCAUUUGUAUCCAUUAGUGACGGAUUAGAUAUUUUUAGGAAAAAUUCAGUUGUAUAAUAAUAAACCUUUUAUUAUUCUCUUUUCUAUUUAUGCAUUUCAGAUCCCGUUAAAGACGAUCAUACAGUUGCACAAACUACAGAGAUCUAAGAACCAUAUGAAGAUGCCCUCGUUGCAUCAACAGAAGUCUUGGAACAUGCAGUAAAAUGAUGCUACAGGGAACAAUGGUGCAGUUGCCCCAUCCACUGUCGUCUCUGAAUAUGCUGAAGGACCGUCUGAAGAUUCUGUGGAUGCUAGUGGUUCCCUGGAUGCAUCCGUGGAAGUCCCAGAUUCUUCUGAAGAUUCUGAUGAUUCAUCCAAAGAAAUCUCUGUACCUCAUGAUGACAGCCUUGUUGAUUCCGACUUUGAUCCUGAGCAUGAUGACUCUUCUGACUACUCUAAAAUUAUACCACUAUUCAACUAUAUAGAUGGAAGAAACAACAACUAAAAGCUCUGGAAUUAAACCAGUUUUGAACAAUAUAGAUUCUGACCAAGAUCCUGCGCAUGAUGCAGCUUCUGACUGAUCUGAAAGAACGUAGAUGAGAGAAAUGAAAACACUGUCAUGCCAAACAUAGAUGGACAGUGAUAUGUCAGUAUGUGCAAUGAAGAGGGAAGCAAUUAUGUUGCUUGAGAUUGUCUUUGCGAUAUCUAGUUGCUUUCGUUUUUAAUGGACAUCAUUGUUUGUGCCGCCGUACGUUUCAUUUUAGGAAUUACACUAAACAAUCUACACAUGGUAGAUAAUCAUCAGCUUUGGUACUAUUUCGUCUUGAAUAUGUUACUCAAGUGCAUAGGAGACCAGGCAGAUGACUUUAUGAUUUUGUGUGAACGACUGGACACAUAGCAUCCCGAUUUCUGCCCUGCAGACCAUUGUCAAAAACAAAAUUAACAAGGAACAAAUGCUGCGUUUGGCAGGUGAUAUAAAGAAGCUGCAGAAUUACUUGGAGAAAACUGCUGACGAAUGCCUGUCAACUUUAGACACGGACUUUGAAAAGUCAGGCAGGAAAAUGCUCAACAAAGUUAACUUAUCCCGUCUGGUAAUGUUCAACAGGACAAUAGGUGCAGAAGUAGAAAGGAUGAACGUUUCUGAUUAUAAUUCUAGGAAAGCUACAAGUAAAUUGAAGAGUGCACUCAGUUCAGUAGAAAGGAUGCUUUGUGCCCGAUUUGACCGGGUGGAGAUUAGCGGGUAAAAGGGCAAAAUCGUGCCAGUCCUAUUGCUGCCUAUGGUACAAAAGAGUAUUGACCUUUUGUUGAAAUACAGGAAAGAAUCAGGCGUACAUGAAAAACACCUUCCUAUUUGCGAGGACAAAAUCAAUUAUGACUUCAAAUCCAAUUCGAAUGUGCGACACACUUAGACAUUUUCGAUCAAACCUGAUUUUGACAGCAGAAGAGCUGUUCACGGGCAACAGACUGAGCAAGCAUGUGGCGACAGUGUCUCAGAUUUUGAAUUCAUGACUUGGAGGUGCUUAUGAACUUCGUGGGGCAUGUUAUUGAGGUCCAUAGUUCAUUUUAUCGACUCCCCCAAGGUACCAUUCAGGUUACCAAAACGGGCAAACUUCUGACAGCGUUCAACAAUGAAACAAUUGGCAAAUACAGUGGCAAGUCUCUCGACGAGAUCUCGUUGGAUGAAGGUGAUAGCUCAUCACCAUUUCAUGUAGAGGUUAAUUCAUGUAAAACAAAUAGCAUAAUUUGUUAUUCAAUGUAUAUAAGAUGCAUACCAUGCUUGCAUUGUCAAAUUAUUUUAAGUCAUAUUACAUUUUUAAGAAAAUCACCUAGUUUACAAAUAUAUUGUUCUCCCAUCGAAAUAUUCAUGUAUGAUCUUUUUGA